GUGCCAGCAGCCGCGGUAAUACGGAGGGUGCGAGCGUUAAUCGGAAUGACUGGGCGUAAAGCGCGCGUAGGCGGCUUGGUAAGCCGGUUGUGAAAGCCCCGGGCUCAACCUGGGAAUGGCAUCCGGAACUGUCAGGCUAGAGUGCAGGAGAGGAAGGUAGAAUUCCCGGUGUAGCGGUGAAAUGCGUAGAGAUCGGGAGGAAUACCAGUGGCGAAGGCGGCCUUCUGGACUGACACUGACGCUGAGGUGCGAAAGCGUGGGUAGCAAACAGGAUUAGAUACCCUGGUAGUCC
rnacentral:rRNA from 1 species